rnacentral:rRNA from 1 species
AGGACGAACGCUGGCGGCGUGCUUAACACAUGCAAGUCGAGCGGUAAGGCCUUUCGGGGUACACGAGCGGCGAACGGGUGAGCAACACGUGGGUGAUCUGCCCUGCACUUCGGGAUAAGCCUGGGAAACUGGGUCUAAUACCGGAUAUGACCUCCUAUCGCAUGGUGGGUGGUGGAAAGAUUUAUCGGUGCAGGAUGGGCCCGCGGCCUAUCAGCUUGUUGGUGGGUAAUGGCCUACCAAGGCGACGACGGGUAGCCGACCUGAGAGGGUGACCGGCCACACUGGGACUGAGACACGGCCCAGACUCCUACGGGAGGCAGCAGUGGGAAUAUGCACAAUGGGCGAAAGCCUGAUGCAGCGACGCCGCGUGAGGAUGACGGCCUUCGGGUUGUAACCUCUUUCAGCAGGACGAAGCGCAAGUGACGUACCUGCAGAAGAAGCACCGGCUAACUACGUGCCGAGCGACGCCGACGGUAUCGUGA